rnacentral:rRNA from 1 species
AGUUUGAUUAUGGCUCAGGAUGAACGCUAGCGACAGGCUUAACACAUGCAAGUCGAGGGGCAUCACGGGAGUAGCAAUACAACUGGUGGCGACCGGCGCACGGGUGAGUAACGCGUAUGCAACCUACCUAUCAGAGGGGAAUAACCCGGCGAAAGUCGGACUAAUACCGCAUAAAACAGGGGCACCGCAUGGUGAUAUUUGUUAAAGAAAUUCGCUGAUAGAUGGGCAUGCGUUCCAUUAGGUAGUUGGUGAGGUAACGGCUCACCAAGCCGACGAUGGAUAGGGGAACUGAGAGGUUGGUCCCCCACACUGGUACUGAGACACGGACCAGACUCCUACGGGAGGCAGCAGUGAGGAAUAUUGGUCAAUGGGCGAGAGCCUGAACCAGCCAAGUCGCGUGAAGGAAAGAAGGAUCUAUGGUUCGUAAACUUCUUUUGCAGGGGAAUAAAGUGCAGGACGUGUCCUGUUUUGUAUGUACCCUGAGAAUAAGGAUCGGCUAACUCCGUGCCAGCAGCAGC